GACGAACGCUGGCGGCGUGCUUAACACAUGCAAGUCGAGCGGUGAACCACCUUCGGGUGGGGAUCAGCGGCGAACGGGUGAGUAACACGUGGGCAACCUGCCCCUAGCACUGGGAUAACCCCGGGAAACCGGGGCUAAUACCGGAUAUGACUCCAAGCGGCAUCUCUUGGAGUGGAAAGAUUUAUCGGCUAGGGAUGGGCCCGCGGCCUAUCAGCUUGUUGGUGGGGUAACGGCCUACCAAGGCGACGACGGGUAGCCGGCCUGAGAGGGCGACCGGCCACACUGGGACUGAGACACGGCCCAGACUCCUACGGGAGGCAGCAGUGGGGAAUAUUGCGCAAUGGGCGAAAGCCUGACGCAGCGACGCCGCGUGAGGGACGAAGGCCUUCGGUCGUAACCU
rnacentral:rRNA from 1 species